rnacentral:misc_RNA from 1 species
AACCAUAGAAACCUGCGGAGUACCUGCGGAGGGAUCAUUACAGAGUUGCAAAACUCCCUAAACCAUUGUGGACGUUACCUAAACCGUUGCUUCGGCGGGCGGCCCGGGUCCUUCCCGGCGCCCCUCGGCCCUCGCGGGCGCCCGCCGGAGGUAAACCAAACUAUUGCAUUGUAUGGCCUCUCUGAGUCUUCUGUACUGAAUAAGUCAAAACUUUCAACAACGGAUCUCAGAUCGGAAGAG